GGAGAGGUCGCAUAGUUGGUCUAGUGCGCUCGUCUCGAAAACGAGAGUGGCGGUGACGUCACCGUGGGUUCGAAUCCCACCCUCUCCG
rnacentral:tRNA from 1 species